rnacentral:rRNA from 1 species
GAUGAACGCUAGCGGCAGGCCUAAUACAUGCAAGUCGAACGGGAUCUGAGGGUAGCUUGCUACCCGAUUUGAGAGUGGCGCACGGGUGCGUAACGCGUGAGCAACCUACCCAUAUCAGGGGGAUAGCCCGAAGAAAUUCGGAUUAACACCGCAUAAUAAUACGCUAACACAUGUUGAUGUAUUUAAAUAUUUAUAGGAUAUGGAUGGGCUCGCGUGACAUUAGCUAGUUGGUAAGGUAACGGCUUACCGAGGCGACAAUGUCUAGGGGCUCUGAGAGGAGAAUCCCCCACACUGGUACUGAGACACGGACCAGACUCCUACGGGAGGCAGCAGUAAGGAAUAUUGGUCAAUGGGCGCAAGCCUGAACCAGCCAUGCCGCGUGCAGGAUGACUGCCCUAUGGGUUGUAAACUGCUUUUGUUAGGGAUUAAACCUUCUUACGUGUAAGGAGCUGAAUGUACCUAAAGAAUAAGGAUCGGCUAACUCCGUGCCAGCCGCCGCAGUAA